GACGAACGCUGGCGGCGUGCUUAACACAUGCCAGUCGAACGGUGAAGCGCCUUCCUUUUUGGUGGGUGUGGAUGAGUGGCGAACGGGUGAGUAACACGUGAGUAACCUGCCUCCUUCUUCUGGAUAACCGCAUGAAAGUGUGGCUAAUACGGGAUAUUCUGGGUCUGUCGCAUGAUGGGUCUGGGAAAGAUAUUGUUUCGGUGGGGGAUGGGCUCGCGGCCUAUCAGCUUGUUGGUGGGGUGAUGGCCUACCAAGGCGGUGACGGGUAGCCGGCCUGAGAGGGUGGACGGUCACACUGGGACUGAGACACGGCCCAGACUCCUACGGGAGGCAGCAGUGGGGAAUAUUGCACAAUGGGCGCAAGCCUGAUGCAGCGACGCCGCGUGAGGGAUGGAGGCCUUCGGGUUGUGAACCUCUUUCGCCAGUGAAGCAGGCCUGCCUCGUUUGUGGGUGGGUUGACGGUAGCUGGAUAAGAAGCGCCGGCUAACUACGUG
rnacentral:rRNA from 1 species